rnacentral:rRNA from 1 species
CAGCAGCCACGGUAAUACGAAGGGGGCUAGCGUUGUUCGGAUUUACUGGGCGUAAAGCGCACGUAGGCGGACUUUUAAGUCAGGGGUGAAACCCCGGGGCUCAACCCCGGAACUGCCUUUGAUACUGGAAGUCUUGAGUAUGGUAGAGGUGAGUGGAAUUCCGAGUGUAGAGGUGAAAUUCGUAGAUAUUCGGAGGAACACCGGUGGCGAAGGCGGCUCACUGGACCAUUACUGACGCUGAGGUGCGAAAGCGUGGGGAGCAAACAGGAUUAGAUACCCCAGUAGUCCCUGUCUCUUAUAC